UAACAGUCUUAAAACCUGACAACUUAACAUCUGACAUUCUUUCAGCAGAAGACAGACAGUUUUCAAAUUGGCGUGAAGGGCUUUGGACAAAACAGGAAAACCAUCAAAUGGUCUGUGGGGAAGUGAGCACUGGGAAAGACUGAAGGGCUGCACUGGAUUGCCAGGUGGGCUGCAUCCUGCACCCCUGUUCAGGAUGAUCUCCCAUAUCCCGAUUUUGCAAUCAGAGGAGGCAACAACAGUUUCUGAGCAUGACGACACGCCUGGCAAAGGCACACAAGGAUCUUGAGCCUUCAAUAGUGUUCCGGGCAUCCUUGUCUUUGGAAUUUUGUUCCCAUCUCAUCUGAGUUUUCAUUGUCCUCGUCUUGCAUGCGUGUAAAAUCCAGCACCUGAGAAAACAGGCCCAAUUUGCUUCCUUGGCACUGCCGUUUCCUGGGCCAGAGCAAGAAGCGGUGAGCCUUCGUAAGUGUCCAAUUAUGUUUACCCUUGGUCCUGGGUACCAUACCAUGCA